rnacentral:rRNA from 1 species
AUGCACGCUGGCGGCGUGCCUCAUACAUGCAAGUCGCGCGCACAGACGAGGAGCUUGCUCCUCUGACGUUAGCGGCGGACGGGUGAGUAACACGUGGAUAACCUACCUAUAAGACUGGGAUAACUUCGGGAAACCGGAGCUAAUACCGGAUAAUAUAUUGAACCGCAUGGUUCAAUAGUGAAAGACGGUUUUGCUGUCACUUAUAGAUGGAUCCGCGCCGCAUUAGCUAGUUGGUAAGGUAACGGCUUACCAAGGCAACGAUGCGUAGCCGACCUGAGAGGGUGAUCGGCCACACUGGAACUGAGACACGGUCCAGACUCCUACGGGAGGCAGCAGUAGGGAAUCUUCCGCAAUGGGCGAGAGCCUGACGGAGCAACGCCGCGUGAGUGAUGAAGGUCUUCGGAUCGUAAAACUCUGUUAUUAGGGAAGAACAAAUGUGUAAGUAACUAUGCACGUCUUGACGGUACCUAAUCAGAAAGCCACGGCUAACUACGUG